UAUUUUUUAUAUUAAUAUAUUUUAUCAAACUUCAACAAACUCUGACAGUCUCACAACUGACCUCCCAUGAUGACAAUGACAGUACACACCCAGUACACACACUUCACACUCACCACACACACCAGUACAUGCCUGUCAGUACCACAAACACUUGUAUUUGCUGUAAGAAGUCCCUUCAAUUAUUGCAUACAAGUAUUCACACAUGAAUAUUCAAUACAUGUAUUCAUGUUUGUGCCAAGU